CCUACGGGUGGCAGCAGUGAGGAAUAUUGGUCAAUGGACGAGAGUCUGAACCAGCCAAGUAGCGUGAAGGAUGACUGCCCUAUGUGUUGUAAACUUCUUUUAUAUGGGAAUAAAACGUUCCACGUGUGGGAGUUUGUAUGUACCAUAUGAAUAAGGCUCGGCUAACUCCGUGCCAGCAGCCGCGGUAAUACGGAGGAUCCGAGCGUUAUCCGGGUUGAUGUGGUUUAAAGGUAGCGUAGAGUGGUUGUUAAGUCAGUUGUGAAAGUUUGCGGCUCAAACGUAAAAUUGCAAUUGAUACUGGCAGUCUUGAGUACAGUUGAGGUAGGAGGAAUUCGUGGUGUAGCGGUGAAAUGCUUAGAUAUCACGCAGAACUCCGAUUGCGAAGGCAGCUUACUAACCUGCCACUGACAUUGAUGCUCGAAAGUGUGGGUAUCAAACAGGAUUAGAUACCCUUGUAGUC
rnacentral:rRNA from 1 species